rnacentral:rRNA from 1 species
GGGUGCGAGCGUUGUCCGGAAUCACUGGGCGUAAAGGGCGCGUAGGCGGCGCGGAUAGUCGGCGGUGAAAGCCCGGAGCUCAACUCCGGGUCGGCCGUCGAUACUUCCGGGCUUGAGCACUGUAGAGGCAGAUGGAAUUCCGGGUGUAGCGGUGGAAUGCGUAGAGAUCCGGAAGAACACCGGUGGCGAAGGCGGUCUGCUGGGCAGUUGCUGACGCUGAUGCGCGACAGCGUGGGGAGCAAACAGG